rnacentral:rRNA from 1 species
CGCGGCCUAUCAGCUUGUUGGUGGGGUAAUGGCCUACCAAGGCGACGACGGGUAGCCGGCCUGAGAGGGUGAUCGGCCACACUGGGACUGAGACACGGCCCAGACUCCUACGGGAGGCAGCAGUGGGGAAUAUUGCACAAUGGGCGAAAGCCUGAUGCAGCGACGCCGCGUGGGGGAUGACGGUCUUCGGAUUGUAAACCCCUUUCAGUAGGGACGAAGCGCAAGUGACGGUACCUGCAGAAGAAGCACCGGCCAACUACGUGCCAGCAGCCGCGGUAAUACGUAGGGUGCGAGCGUUGUCCGGAAUUACUGGGCGUAAAGAGCUCGUAGGCGGUUUGUCGCGUCGUCCGUGAAAACUCGGAGCUUAACUCCGAGCUUGCGGGCGAUACGGGCAGACUUGAGUACUACAGGGGAGACUGGAAUUCCUGGUGUAGCGGUGAAAUGCGCAGAUAUCAGGAGGAACACCGGUGGCGAAGGCGGGUCUCUGGGUAGUAACUGACGCUGAGGAGCGAAAGCAUGGGUAGCGAACAGGAUUAGAUACCCUGGUAGUCCAUGCCGUAAACGGUGGGCGCUAGGUGUGGGGUCCUUCCACGGAUUCCGUGCCGUAGCUAACGCAUUAAGCGCCCCGCCUGGGGAGUACGG